UUGAAAUUAUGGAGUCCAAAGUCAUUAUCCAAAAUGAGUUGCAGCAUGAGCAGCAGCAACAAUGCAAGCUUCCCAACACUGACCAUCCAAUGUGCUCCAACCCUCACCUGAACAGAUCAUCUCUAGAAAUCAGCUUCCAUUUCUACUCAAAUAUUUGACACAUGUACUGCU
ensembl:misc_RNA